rnacentral:lncRNA from 1 species
AAGGAACCAUUUAACAUUUACUAAAGACUCCUAGUUUUAGGCACUGGCCUGCCCACAGAGCUGCUACAGAAGCGAGGCACUGGUAUUACAGGAGGCUUCCCCAUGGCAAGAUUGCAUAUCCACUCCUAGUUGGCUUCACUGCACACCUAAUCCACAUCAUCACUACUACACAGUGCUGUGGAAGGCUCCCUGUUUGGGGUAGAGCCUACACUCUUGAGUACUAGAGGAUUAUUGGAGCUCAGGCUCAGUGUACUGCAGAGUUGGGCUUCUCAGGAUUGUCUCAGAGUGAAGUCCAGGUAACCUUGCUAAGGACUCUAGGGCCAGUCCUUGCCCACCUCUUCCUCAUCAGGGGGAUCCAGCCUUUUCCUUGGCCUGCCCUCCUGCUUUCCCACGUGAGCUCCGGACCAGUUGUGACCUGGAGCUGUCUGUGUUGGCACAAGAUCUCACGCUCCACCUGCAGGCCAGAGCGCCCCUUUAUUUUCUCAUGUCGUUGGUACUGCUUUCCCCUGACAUUUUGUGAGGAAACUAGCCUUUGAUUCCUAUUUCCUUGGCGGGUAUCUGUCUUUGUCUGUGGAGAGUCUGGUUUCCGGUUGCAUGUGAGGUGUGGAAGCCCCAUGUGUGGCUCCAUAUGGGGCUGGCAGAUGAGUCUUCUGUCCCCAGUCACAAAGCCAGGUCAAAGCGGGAAAUGGAAACUGCACAUCCUCCUAAGUCCUUGACCGGAAACUGCCAUAACUCUUGGCCUUUUCCUUCUGCUCAGCUUAGCCCUUCUGAAAAUGCUUUCUGUCUUGUUCAGAUAUACAGAUACUUCCCAGGCUUUGACUGGUUCUUCCUCGACCCCAUUACAAGCAGUGGAAUUAAAUUUGCAAAUGACGAAAAGUGAGUAUUGUGAUAGAGUGAAUAGAAAGACACAGGACACCCCCACCUUCCCUCAGCGAAGUGUUAUCCUGACAGAGUGGUUGGUCUCUGAGUCCGUGUCUUUUGAAAGGGAAAGUCAAGUUGAGCUUAGUAUUAGAAAUAAGAAAGGGGCUGGAGAGAUGGCUCAGUGGUUAGGAGCACUGACUGCUCUUCCAGAGGUCCUGAGUUCAAAUCCCAGCAACCACAUGGUGGCUCACAACCAUCUGUAAUGGGAUCUGAUGCCCUCUUCUGGUGUGUCUGAAGACAGCUACAGUGUAUAGUAUACAUAAGAUAAAUAAUUCUUAAA